CCGCUUGUGUCGGAAUCCGGGUAGUUGCACCCCUCCGGCGCUCUCUCGCACAUACACACGCACACGCAGGCGGGGGAGCGGAGGGGAAGGCUGGUCGGCUGCGGACCGAGCCGGGUUGGGAAAGGGUAUACACAGAAAAGUCCUAUGCUAUCCGAAGGCAGUAUUUCAACAGCUGAGGAACACUUUGUGAAGAGCCCACACGUCCCUUUUCGGAAGGUUGACUGUUGUGAUCUACAGAAAACAAUGUAAGACAAUAGUUGACUGUAUCUUGGUAAGUUGACUUACCAAGCAUCUGUAAACACUAAUUUACAAAUUGACAAAUGCUUAAAAAAUAUUUCAUGUACAAACCUGAUGUGUUCCCAAAAUAAAUAUCAUACAUCAAGA